UUGAGCUGCUGCUGUACUCCAGAAACGACGCUGCUGUCAAGUUUUCUCCGGUCGCCGCCACGCUGCUCUGGUUUACCUUGCUGUACGGCAGCACGUGCAUUGCUCUUCCGGUCUGUUCUCGACUUAGCCGCUGCUCCUUGAGCGCCAUACUUUGCUGCUGCUUUGAGCUGCUGCUGUACUCCAGAAACGACGCUGCUGUCAAGCUUUCUCCGGUCGCUGCCACGCUGCUCUGAUUUACCUUGCUGUACACCAGACGAGGCAGGAGCAGAAUUAGCUGCUUCAAUCGGAGGGCAGCACGUGCACUGCUCUUCCGGUCUGUUCUCGACUUAGCCGCUGCUCCUUGAGUUCAAUAGCAAAAGUUAUUCUAGUGUGGAGAUUGAUGAAGUGCGGAGGGAGUGGGCUGAUUGUGUUUUGCAGGUAAUAUGAUCAAAGCUAACUUGGAUGCAAAGAGGAAAGAAGACCAUAUUUAGUUAUUGAAAAAUUGAGGCUUCAAGAACAUUUGAUUUUGAGAGCUGAUAUUAGAUUUUGUCUUCCUAGAAACUUGAUAUUAGACUUCCUUUUGUUAUAUUGAUAGUUGAAACUUGGUGCGAGACAUUGGAGAUGAUUGUAACGUACAUUGGUGCUAAUUGAUUGUGUAAUUUGAUAUU